rnacentral:rRNA from 1 species
AUGCGCACAAGUCUAUACGCAGACGAUGCAGUGAUCUUCAUCCAACCUGCAAGGUCAGAGAUCAACACGCUCCUCGACAUACUCCACCACUUCGGCAAAGCCAUGGGCCUGCGCGUCAACCUUGCUAAAUCCUCGGUGGUUCCAAUCUGAUGAGGCGACAUCGACCUCACAGUCCUGCACAACUUUGGAGGGGUGGUGGCAUCACUGCCAAUCACAUAUUUAGGUCUCCCCGUCACCACCGGUAGGGUUACAGUAGUUCAUCUUCAGUUCAUCUUACAUAGGAUCCGUGCGCGCUUGGCUGGUUGGAAGGGGAGAUAGAUGCAUAUCACCGGUCGUAGGGUCUUGGUUUGCUGCGUCCUCUCAGCCAUGCCAACAUUCACGCUCACGGUUCUCAGGGCGCCAAAGAAGUUUUUCAAAGAAGUCGAAAAGGCCAGAUGA